rnacentral:rRNA from 1 species
GGGUCAAUAGGUUGGUCGUGCCACCGGUACGUACUGGUCUCACUGAUUCCUCCUUCCUGAAGAACCUUAAUGCAAUUAAUUUGGUGUUGCGGGGAAACAGGACUGUUACUUUGAAAAAAUUAGAGUGUUUAAAGCGAGCUAACGCUUGAAUACAUUAGCAUGGAAUAAUGAAAUAGGACGAUCGAUCCUAUUUUGUUGGUUUCUAGGAUUGACGUA